UCCGAAUUGGUGUAGUGGCCAACAUUUGACGCUCUCAUCAUCUUCCUUGGUGCUUCUCUUAUGAGAUGUUAGGGAGAGUGACGGUGCCGUCAAGCCCGGGGUUCGAUUCCCCGAUUCGGAG